rnacentral:rRNA from 1 species
UACGUAGGGUGCGAGCGUUGUCCGGAAUUAUUGGGCGUAAAGGGCUCGUAGGCGGUCUGUUGCGUCAGGAGUGAAAACUCGGGGCUUAACCCCGAGCCUGCUUCUGAUACGGGCAGACUAGAGGUAUGCAGGGGAGAACGGAAUUCCUGGUGUAGCGGUGAAAUGCGCAGAUAUCAGGAGGAACGCCGGAGGCGAAAGCGAGUGACUGGCGCGUUCCUGACGCUGAGGUGCGAAAGCUAGGGGAGCAAACAGG